AAAAUGUGCUAUUAUUGUCCUAAGAGCUGCUGCCAGGGCUUCAUUUCAAGGUGGCAAAACCCACAGCUAGCUCCAGGGAAAGGACAGCUAAUCCUGGGACGCUAAAUAAGAUAAAUUAAUAAAGCCUGAUACAAAAAUUAAAAGGUAACUGUAUGGCGCUGUUUUGCUCAGAGGAUUUCCAUCUUCCCUUUGCCUUGAGGCAAUAUUAGACUGAGGAGACUUCUGCAAGGGUUUCUACAUUCUGGUAAUGCACCAGUUCUCAAAAUGUCAUGCAAGACCAUCAUGCGUGGAAGUGCUGACCAGCUGUGGCAUGCCUGCUGUAGCCUGGGAGGAUGACGGUGAGCAAACAGUUCUUUUUGGCAGCUCCUGCGAGCAAAGGCAGCCCUGCGUGGCACACAGGGAUGCAGAUUUGGGGUCGCUUGGGGAACUCUGGCUGGUGCUGAUCCAGGUUUGGUGCUGGUCUGGGGAAGGGUCAGCCUUGCUGCAGCUGGAGGACGCUGUUGGUCCUGUUAUUCUCUUUGAAUGAGAAAUGGUUAAAUCGCUGGAAACUUCAGUGUAAAGGUGAGCUUCUACACAAAAGAAAUAAAUAUUUAGUUCCUCUGGUGAUUUUUUCCCCCCCCCCCCCAGUUUCUGCUGAUACACAGAGUUGAAUCCUAUGGGGUUCGUUUGUUUGGCGUCAGUGUGAUUCUGAAAAACCAGAAAGCACUAAUUGCCUUUCUAACCAGUUACUGAAUUUCUUAUGUUAGGUGGACUCUCAUGGGGGAAGAGUAAGUCUUUUGUUCUUAAGCAUUAUUUUAACCCAUGUUACAAUCUGAUUCGUUCUUUUUCAAGAAAGCGAGUAAACAGGUCAGCUUUGCUGCUGGCUGCUCCCGAUCCCCAGCAGAGACUGGGGAGCUGUGGUGCAAAAGCUGGUUUCUCAGCAGCUGGUGAGAAUCGCCGUGAACGCUGCUGGGGAGCUGCCGAGGCGGAGGAGCUGGUAGCACUCGGUUAAGCUGUUGCUUGGGCUCUAUGGUCGAGGAUAACUGGGCAGAAGCAUGAAAUUCAAGGAGUGGAUGUGAUGCCAGCUUUGUAUUUGAGAGAUUUCAGCUUCUCCUCUGGCAAGGAGGGUGUGAUGCACACCCUGCAAUUGUGCAGUGCCUCUGCCUGCGCCGGGGAGCAGUUGCAAGUGCGUUAAUAACCUGGCUGCUGUGUCCAGAGAAGCAAAUUCCUUCUGUGUGCUGAGCUGUGCUGUCUGGGGCAGCACCCUGACACCAGGGAGAAAUCAGAUGACUUGCACCAAGGGUUUGUGUUAAAAGAUGGCAGGUUGCUGCGAUUGCCAACGCCUAACCUGAUAACCAGUCAUGCCUCUUCUUGCUAUGAAAGAUGCUUCUAAUUUUUACUCCACGCUCUUUUUUUAUAUACCUCAUAAUAACUGACCGCAGUGUAAAAUUUCAGUUAAACACAAAAUCAGCAAAGAUGCAAAAUGGGAAGGGAGGUUUUUUGCAAUUUGUACUGCUGGACUCUGCGCAGAGCUGUGUUCAACUUGCCUCCUGCUACCUAUUAGAGGUGCGCAGCUGUGCUCAUGGUGCUUCCCGGAGGGAAAUGUUUUCUGUCCCCAUCAACGUGUUGGUGACGGGAGGGUGCCCCCAUGCUGGGUACCAGCCUGAGAGCUUUGCAAAUGGCAGCAGUAUCAGAAUUAUUUGGACACUUGGAGCUGCAAAGAGACAUUCAAGUCUGGUGGGGAGUUGUGGGUAUCUGUCCCUCUUUCCUGAGAAAAGCUCCUUUCUGAUGGUAAAAUGGCUUUGGGGGCACCUUCUUUCUCUUCCCUGUGUGGCUGCUGUUGCAGGGCAGUGAACUGUGCUGCUCUAAAGCAGCUGAGGAUCUGGUCCCAAGAGCUAAGUGACAGAGCACGUUAUCUAUGUGAUGCAAAACAAGAACAAUAAACCCCCCCACCCCCGUCUGUACCAAAUAGCUAGGGAUAGCAAUUGAAAAGCAUCUUCCUACUUGAAAACAAAGCUAAAAUAAGUUUUUAAAUUACUUUGUACGCAUUAAAAUACCUGAAUCGUCACCUUGUAAUUUUGUAAAUGCUUUAGAUGUUCUUGCCUUCCUUUUAUUCUAUUCUUCCCAUCUUUUAAGGCUAGUGGGAAGGUGGUGUAGUACAAACUGUAAUGCCUUUUUACCUUAUUGCUGCCUUAACUGGAUAUUUAUUGCCCAAUAUACAAUGAAGAUGAGGUGCCAAAGCCUUGAAUUUCCUGAGCUCAUUGUGAAAAUUGCAUUUUGUUUCUUCCUAAAGCUGAUGGUUACAGAUUCUGAAGGUGCACAGAUGCGAAGCUCAAACUUAUUUGGAAGCAAAGUGAUUUAUAAAGAGCUGCUGAUUCCCCUAAAGAACAGAGCUGGACUUUGACUUGCUGGUUUAUGGCAGCAGGUGGCUUGUGGGACCAGGCUGGGGAUGAUCUUCAGGCUGUUUUCCUACUUGCAGCAUCUCAAGCUGCCCAGACAUAGUCCUCUCUGGAGGAGCCUCAGCAGACUUUCCCUCUGGCUGUGCCUUUUACCAUCCCUGUGCUGGAGAGACUUUCCCUCCCUGGAGGACAACUGGAGGAUGCUUUGCUGGUGCUUUGGGUCUUUUUCCACCUGCAGGCACCUGCUCCAACAUCGUGGUCCGGUGACAUCAGCUGAAUGGUGGGCAUUUCUCUGAAUCUAUGGGAUGAAUGGAGAGUGCUCAGAAACAGAGGUUGAACGACAGCUGGAAAUGCUUGCUUUCUGCCAUUUCUGACAACAUCACAUCUGCAAGAUGAUAUGGGUGCUCCUUGAGGUAGGUCAUCACUGCUUUUGCACAUGCAAACUAAGGAACCGUGAGUACAAGUGAAAACCCGGGUGCUUAAACACCAGCUGGAUAAGGCUUGCUGCUUUGCAGGCACUGAGCUCCUGCAGGUACAUCUGCAGCUUCCCUUGUUGUUUGCAGUAGUUUUAUUCCUCAUACAGCACCGCAUAGAGUCAUCUGUGCCUGAUCCCUCCCAGCUGUAAAUGGGACAAUAUCCAUUGGUGAUUUAUCCUGCCUUUUCCUAUUUUGGACCUCACCCUAUUGCAUACAGAGACAUGGCUCUGUUCAGUGGGUCUGGUGAUUUUGCCUCUCAAAAGCAGUGUUCUCAGUGACUUUGAAAUGAUGUCCCCCUUUUCCCUUCCUCUUCAAUCAUAGCACAGGCAUAACUCAAUGAGAUCAAUAGUGACCGUCAUGAAAAUCAGAGAAGGAUUGAUCCUCCGUGAUCAUCACAGAAAGAAAUGCUGCAUUUGCUCUGUUUUCUGCAACUCAGCUUCCAGGCCCAGGUGUCCAUCUUCCCAGAGAGAUAACACCAUGUACUUCAGUCUUUCUCUGCAAGAAAGCUGCUCUGACACCGGCUCCACAAAAGCCGAUGGCAGUCUGAUCCCGUAAAUUUAUCAGUCCCCAAACGAGCUGCGGUGUCCGUCCUCAUGCACCUUUCUUCUCUGCCUGUUGGAUAAUGCAGAAGACCACGUAUGCUCCAGCAGCACCCUCCCCUGAACAAACCCUCCUGCCAGACCCCCAUCUUCUGUCUGCCUUUAGCUCCUGAUUAUGGGGCAAUUUCACGGUGCCGUGUGCGGUGGGAGCAGCUCUCUGGGUGUAACUGGUGCCUGCUCGUCCCCCGGCGGGGUGGUGGAUCGGUGCCUUCUGCACUCCGUGAAAUUCAGCCCCCGAGCCAGAGCUGGAGCUGCAGCCAGAGUACAUAAAUCUGCGAAACACUUCAUCGGCUGGUGUCUCGUAUGAGGGUCUCGAGCUGUCUCUCCCUGCGGAGGAUGAUCUUACCUGCAGAAACAUCCAGCUCAGCAGGUGGCUAAUUACCACCAUCAAAACUUUAUAGGCAGCGCGCUCAGGGGUAAGUUCUUGUCAGGGCAUGAGAAAUACAGUUUUGAAACAAAUCUCAUUUCAAAGCAUCCAUAACUUUUCUGAGCAAAGGCACAAGAGGGAGAUAGGAAUUGUUUAGGAGCCGAGAGCGGGAUGGAUGGUGACCACCUCAGGCUCAGUCCAAGAGCAACGCAGCGAGGAUGCGCCGGGGUGAGCCACCGCUUGCUGCGGUCCUAUCAAUCUGCUUGGCGCAAAGUACCAAAUACCAAGAGAUGAUGCUCCCUCUGAGCGUGGGGGCUGGCUUCAUACCUGCAGCCCCUCAUUCUCAUGCUCUCCCUGCUCCCAAAGGAGUUACCCACCUGCCAAAGGCGCUGGAGUAAUUCUCCUUGUUAGAAUAAAUUAUGAGGAUCACAGCCAGCCGCUCACUUAAUGCUAAAAUCACAGGGAGAUGAGACUGGCCACUUUGGUCCUCUCUGACCUUGAAAACCAAGCUGGCGAAUGCAACCUUCCAUUUCUUAUUGCUCUCCAGGAUUAGUGGGAUGAGGUCAGCCUGUAGCACUAAUUCACUUUGCUCUUAACUCAUUUCAUUACAUUACAGGAGAGCAUUGCACUUGGUGAGUGUAAUCUUCAAUGUUAUUCUCCUCUUGUCUUUGCUUUUGUUAUAAAUUAAAUAAGCUACUGUCAUUUUCCAACUAUAAAGAUUGAUUUUUUUUUUUUUUUUAACUAUACUGGGGCAAGCGCUGAUAAUUUAUACAUCUUAAAGUUGUUCACUUAGUUGUCUCUCUAGCUGGUUAUUUUGUUGGACCUUGAGCUGGCUGCUUUUUCCUUUUGCCAUGCUCUCAGGUGGCAGGCUCUCAGGAAAGAGAUGUUAAGUCUUCUCUUGGAAAAGAGACCUUAAGUCUUCAUACCUCCUGUUGUGAGGAGCACGGACGGACCUGAGAUGGACACUGGGCUCCUGUGAAUACCAAAAUGAGAGCUCGUGUCAGUAGGAUGCACUGUCCCUUCCAGGGAGAUGUCAAGGCUGGCUUGCGUGUGAUGCUGAUGUAUGUCUGUGUUGGCUGCAUGGUUGGGCUGUCUCAUCCCCAUCGCGAGCAAAGAGAACGCAACGUAGCUCCUUGACCAAAACGCAGCGUCCAAAACAACCCAAGCUGAGCAGAAGCCAUCUUCCAAACUAAAUGUUGAAGUUGGGUAUGUGUGACACACAGAUUCCCUGGCAGUAUUUGAAGCAUGACAAUAAUCCAAAAGGACAUACCUUGGAUUUAAAGCCUGGCUGCUGGUUUUAAAAUUGAGCUCUUCCACGAAGGUGGUACUGAAAGCUGUUCUUGGUUGUGAACGACAGGCUCCGGGAUCCACCCGUGCUCAGAUGUACCUCUGCUUUGAGCUGCUCCCAAGACAAAUGUGUCUGAGAGGGUUUACUGCUCAGACUCUUGAGCAGAUGGUGGUGCCUCCUAAACCAGACUGAGGUGGCCCCAGUGCUGUGAUCUUUUGGCCAUGGUAACUAGUAAUGCGCUAGAGCGGUGGCCAUGAACUUGCGUUGCUGAUCACCUAUGACAAAUCACAUGCCAUUAAGGUUUUUUCUUCUUUCUGAAGAAGCAGUAGCUUCAGUUCUCUUCUUACCAUGUUAUGCAUAAUCCAUAUAGCUGAUGGACAUGUGCUGGUUCAGGAGCUGCUCUGUCUUAGUGUGUUGCAGAAACACAAUUAACAGACUAACUCAUGUCCAGUGGGUGCAAACCCCCAUCUGGCAGGAUGUCAGCUGAGAAAUACAAGAACUGCAAGUGAUUAGAAACUGGAAUUUUUUAUUUUCAUAGGUAUAAUAGAAGGUGGAAUAAGUGAUUGGAAAAGCGGAACUUCUAGACUUGGCCUAGCUGCAAGGGGAGGGUUGGUUUGAUGAAGAUGAAAAGCCAAUUGGCUGAAAGUCACUGUGGAAUGAAAGAAAGAAGAGCCCAAACUAAAAAUGAUGUAUUUCCAAGAGACAAAGCAGAGUGGCUGUAGGGAAUGGCAGGUGGGACCUUCUGGGGAAGAUGCUAAGGAGUACGGGCAACUCCUCGAAGAAAUUUUCAUUGGUCUUAGUCAAAAAAGAGGUGUAUAUGAAGUAGACAAUAAGCCUGAUUACUAAAAAUCAGCAGAAAAGAAUGAUGAAAACAAAUGGUGACAAAAUGUGAAAGGCUGAAACACAAACCAAGGGACACGGGGGGAAGUGGUCACCAGGUGCACUGGAAGCAACGUAGGUGGAGGAUGGCCCUACCAUGCUGGCAUCAGCCUGGGAGGUGCAGGGAAACCAGAUUGGAAAAUGAACGUGGAACUAAACUACCUAAAAAAACGGUCCGAGAAAACCAGAAUGGCCGUCAGCGAGGGCAGCACCUGGUUUCACCGUCCAGCAGGAGCAAUCAGCAGCAGAAAUGUAGGGUGGGGAAGGACCAGGGAGCAGAGCUGGGGAAGAGGGCUCAGGGUGAGUCCCCUCAUGGGUGUGGGUCGCCUGUGCCAGGCCCCUGUGGAAGACCCACAUGCUGCACUGGGUGUAGAAACAGGAAUUAAGUCUUUAAGUUUGCUCAGCAGUGCUGGUUUUAUUUAUGCAUUUGUACUGACGGAAGAAAAAAAGAAAGAAAGAAGCGCCUGGGGUAGAUGGCCAGGGAGACUGUGACCUCUUCGUCACCGAAGGUUUUUAAGACAGGUCAGACAAGUAUCUCCUGGGAAUAAUUCGAUGAAGUUGAUUGUGGCCGGGGAAGUGGAUGAGCUCAGUAAUUUCUUGAUCACCUUCAGCCCUAUAGAUCUCUCUAGUUUUUUUUCAACAUUUAUAGCAUAACACUGUUCACAAGGCUGAAAUCCCCUACCCCCUGCUCGCGAUUAAUUUCCCAACAAUACUUUAAAGCAUCACGUUAAGGCAUCAUAAAGACAUUGUGCUUUUAGAAACAAUUAUUUGAUCGCUCCGCCAAUGCCUCAUUGCAGCCAUCCUAAUGAACGAUGAAACUUUAUUGUGUUUAGAGAUGUAGUACGUGGCACCGGCGGCCGCCGUCGCUGGGCUGGGAGACGGAAAAAGCACAUAAGCGUCUCGGCGCAAGGCUUCUCCUUGUCACGAAGCCUGUCCUCUGAUUUGGGGAGUGCAAAUUGCAUUUUAACAGAUAUAACCUACAGAAAAAAUAUUAUCAACAAAGGGAAAGAAGAUUAACUGCUUGCCUGGAGGCAACGUUUGAAGAUUUUACAGAUACGGCUGUACCUGCUACAGCCGGCACUCCAGUUACAGUGGGUACAGCGGGGAGAUGCGGCUCAUGAUAUACCAAAUAAAACGGCACCAUUUU